rnacentral:rRNA from 1 species
CCAGAGUUUGAUCCUGGCUCAGGAUGAACGCUAGCGGCAGGCUUAACACAUGCAAGUCGAGGGGUAACAUUGGUGCUUGCACCAGAUGACGACCGGCGCACGGGUGAGUAACGCGUAUACAAUCUACCUUUUUUUUGGGGUAUAGCCCGGAGAAAUUUGGAUUAACCCCCCAUGGUAUGUAAAAGUGGCAUCACUUUUACAUUAAAAUUACGGUGGUAAUAGAUGAGUAUGCGUCCCAUUAGUUAGUUGGUAAGGUAACGGCUUACCAAGGCAGCGAUGGGUACGGGUCCUGAGAGGGAGAUCCCCCACACUGGUACUGAGACACGGACCAGACUCCUACGGGAGGCAGCAGUGAGGAAUAUUGGACAAUGGAGGCAACUCUGAUCCAGCCAUGCCGCGUGCAGGAAGACUGCCCUAUGGGUUGUAAACUGCUUUUACAGAGUAAGAACCCGCUCCCACGUUGUGGGUGUUUGACGGUACUCUGCGAAUAAGGGAUCGGCUAACCCCGUGCCAUCAGCCCGGUAAUACCGAGGAUCCAAGCGUUAUCCGUAUCAUUGGGAUAAAGGGUCCGUAGGCGGGACAAUACGUAUGUGGCAAGUCUGCACUUAACUGUGAAUUACAUUGAACCUGGACUCUUACCUUC